rnacentral:rRNA from 1 species
UACAGAGGGGGCAAGCGUUGUUCGGAAUUACUGGGCGUAAAGGGCGCGUAGGCGGCCUGUUAAGUCGAACGUGAAAUCCCCGGGCUCAACCCGGGAACUGCGUCCGAUACUGGCAGGCUUGAAUCCGGGAGAGGGAUGCGGAAUUCCUGGUGUAGCGGUGAAAUGCGCAGAUAUCAGGAAGAACACCUAUGGCGAAGGCAGCUCUCUGGGACGGUACUGACGCUGAGACGCGAAAGCGUGGGGAGCGAACAGG